UACGUAGGGUGCAAGCGUUGUCCGGAAUUAUUGGGCGUAAAGAGCUCGUAGGCGGUUUGUCGCGUCUGCUGUGAAAACUCGGGGCUUAACCCCGGGCCUGCAGUGGGUACGGGCAGACUAGAGUGCGGUAGGGGAGACUGGAAUUCCUGGUGUAGCGGUGAAAUGCGCAGAUAUCAGGAGGAACACCGGUGGCGAAGGCGGGUCUCUGGGCAACAACUGACGCUGAGGAGCGAAAGCGUGGGGAGCGAACAGG
rnacentral:rRNA from 1 species